UCCGUAGGUGAACCUGCGGAAGGAUCAUUACCGAGUUGAUUCGAGCUCCGGCUCGACUCUCCCACCCAAUGUGUACCUACCUCUGUUGCUUUGGCGGGCCGCGGUCCUCCGCACCGGCGCCCUUCGGGGGGCUGGCCAGCGCCCGCCAGAGGACCAUAAAACUCCAGUCAGUGAACUUCGCAGUCUGAAAAACAAGUUAAUAAACUAAAACUUUCAACAACGGAUCUCUUGGUUCUGGCAUCGAUGAAGAACGCAGCGAAAUGCGAUAAGUAAUGUGAAUUGCAGAAUUCAGUGAAUCAUCGAAUCUUUGAACGCACAUUGCGCCCCUUGGUAUUCCGAGGGGCAUGCCUGUUCGAGCGUCAUUUCAACCCUCAAGCUCUGCUUGGUAUUGGGCCUCGUCCUCCACGGACGCGCCUUAAAGACCUCGGCGGUGGCGUCUUGCCUCAAGCGUAGUAGAAAACACCUCGCUUUGGAGCGCACGGCGUCGCCCGCCGGACGAACCUUUGAAUUAUUUCUCAAGGUUGACCUCGGAUCAGGUAGGGAUACCCGCUGAACUUAAGCAUAUCAAUAAGCCGGAGGA
rnacentral:rRNA from 1 species